CCUACGGGUGGCAGCAGUGGGGAAUAUUGGACAAUGGGCGAAAGCCUGAUCCAGCCAUGCCGCGUGUGUGAAGAAGGCCUUCGGGUUGUAAAGCACUUUCAGUGGGGAAGAAAGCCUUGGGGCUAAUACCCUCGAGGAAGGACAUCACCCACAGAAGAAGCACCGGCUAACUCCGUGCCAGCAGCCGCGGUAAUACGGAGGGUGCGAGCGUUAAUCGGAAUUACUGGGCGUAAAGCGCGCGUAGGCGGUCUGAUAAGCCGGUUGUGAAAGCCCCGGGCUCAACCUGGGAACGGCAUCCGGAACUGUCAGGCUAGAGUGCAGGAGAGGAAGGUAGAAUUCCCGGUGUAGCGGUGAAAUGCGUAGAGAUCAGGAGGAAUACCAGUGGCGAAGGCGGCCUUCUGGACUGACACUGACGCUGAGGUGCGAAAGCGUGGGUAGCAAACAGGAUUAGAUACCCGAGUAGUC
rnacentral:rRNA from 1 species